rnacentral:piRNA from 1 species
UAGAGGUUACCUUCUAAAGUCUUGAA